rnacentral:rRNA from 1 species
UACGUAGGGGGCAAGCGUUGUCCGGAAUCAUUGGGCGUAAAGAGCGUGUAGGCGGCCAGACAAGUCUGCUGUGAAAACUCGAGGCUCAACCUCGAGCUGUCGGUGGAAACUGUCUGGCUAGAGUCCGGAAGAGGAGAGUGGAAUUCCUGGUGUAGCGGUGAAAUGCGCAGAUAUCAGGAAGAACACCUAUGGCGAAGGCAGCUCUCUGGGACGGUACUGACGCUGAGACGCGAAAGCGUGGGGAGCGAACAGG